CUCCUAUCUAGGUAUCAAUAAACGUCAAAUAAUAGUUAUGCUCCUAUCUAGGUAUCAAUAAACGUCAAAUAAUAGUUAUGCUCCUAUCUAGGUAUCAAUAAACGUCAAAUAAUAGUUAUGCUCCUAUCUAGGUAUCAAUAAACGUCAAAUAAUAGUUAUGCUCCUAUCUAGGUAUCAAUAAACGUCAAAUAAUAGUUAUGCUCCUAUCUAGGUAUCAAUAAACGUCAAAUAAUAGUUAUGCUCCUAUCUAGGUAUCAUUAAAAAGAGACAUACGUAAAUGGGACAGCAGAUGCAUCUUUAAAAGUGCCAGUGAAAUCCUUUCUUUUGACAUCACCAGCCCCUUUAUGUAAUUAUCAAAUUAUUAAGACAACAACUACUAAUAAUACUUUAUACAAAUCCGGAAAUCUUGACUAUAUAUUUUUCAAAUUUCAUAUACACAUAAAGAUAAAAUUCCCAUUAAUGCUGGCAUAAAUGGUUACUUUUGAUUUAGCAUUGUCGUUAAAAUAAAGAUAGUUAUUGGGUGAUGUAUUCCUAACAAGUGAUAAUAUAUAGACAUGCACUUGAACCUGUUUGGUGUUCCUGCAAUUACGGUUGCUUUUUUAUACUCUCAUGUUUGUCUCUUUAUAUUUGUUCUGAUCCUGUUUCACAAUGUUUCAGCUGAUGUCGGUAAUUGCUAUCGUAUUUGAAAUAAUUUCUAAAAUUUCUAUUUUACUACAGUUCGUUUGAUCUAUAUAUGAAUAAAAGGAAAUAAGAAGUAUAUACGCGAAUGAGACGGCAACCUGACAACACAAAAACAAUGCAAACUACAUUUAGCGGGUGAAUAUACAGUAUGUAAAGACCUAAAUUACCCUGAGUCUGGUAAUGUAGUCAGUAGAUUUAACAGAGACUAUCAAAGAUCAGCCACCACCACCAAAUGAUGUAG